GGGAGGGAGGAUAGUGCUGCUCACAACCUAUUUAUGUCAAAGGUUGCUGAAGUGAAUAAUGCACAUCUCAAAUACUUUCUAAUUACAGAUGGUUUCAUGGAAAAAGGACUAAAUCACAUUCUUUGUUGAACAUUCUGAUUGCUGCUGGGACAAUCCUGAGAAACGAUGAAUACGAACCUGCGAUGGGAGUUGGUGUGGACGAGACGAAUCUAGCCCUUCUAGGAAGGAGAGGGGGAGCAGACUGGAAAAGAUGCCAACGAUACCAGAGAAGAUCAAAAACCUUCUGCUGCUUCAAGGACAAAUACAAGUUUUUAGAUGGAUUUUGAUGCACAGGAUACUACUAUCAACAAAACAAAAGCAUUUAAAAUGAAUCUUCCACUUUUCAUUUUGUCCAUCCAUUAAAAACAUUUGUGAAUGAUUUCACUAAUCCAAAUCAAGGAGCCAUUUCUGACCGGUACACCUUUUCCUUUUUAGAAGUUGUGGUUCGUUAAACCAAGGAAAGUCGUGACGUUUCUCUCGGUCUCAAUGACCAUUAGUUCCAUGUAUCUUCUGUUGUUGAUUCACUGAUAUCAGUUUAUUCUCUGUUCUAACCAAAGGACUAGCAUCAUAAGGACUAGCAUCAUGGACUAGCAUCAUGUACUAGCAUCAUAAGGACUAGCAUCAUGGACUAGCAUCAUAAGGACAAGCAUCAUGGACUAGCAUCAUAAGGACAAGCAUCAUGGACUAGCAUCAUGGACUAGCAUCAUCAUGGACUAGCAUCAUAAGGACAAGCAUCAUGGACUA
ensembl:lncRNA